CCUACGGGUGGCAGCAGUGGGGAAUAUUGGGCAAUGGUGGCAACUCUGACCCAGCAAUGCCGCGUGAGUGAAGAAGGUCUUCGGAUUGUAAAGCUCUUUAAUCAGGGAAGAAGAAGAUGACGGUACCUGAGGGAUAAGCCACGGCAAACUAUGGGCCAGCAGCCGCGGUAAUACAUAGGGGGCAAGCGUUGUGCGGAAUGACUGGGUGUAAAGGGAGCGUAGGCGGUCUGGUAAGUUGGAAGUGAAAUCCCGGGGCUCAACCCCGGCACUGCUGUUAAGACUGACGGACUUGAGUGUGAGGGAGGUAAGCGGAAUUCGUAGUGUAGCGGUGAAAUGCGUAGAUAUUAGGAGGAACUCCAGUGGCGAAGGCGGCUUACUGGAUUAUAACUGACGCUGAGGCUCGAAAGCGUGGGUAGCGAACAGGAUUAGAUACCCGAGUAGUC
rnacentral:rRNA from 1 species